UAAUGCGCAACAAUUUAUUUUAUCAUUUAUUAUUUAUUAUUAUUAUUUACUGUAAAAUAUACUUCACGAUUUUUGUGCUCUCUUUCUUUCUUUCUCUUUCUCUCUUUGAUACAUUAUUUAUCAUGUUACAAAAUGAUAAAACAUAUCAAUUGUUUGUUGUUUCUAAUCAUAGUUAGAUAGCACGUGUAAAUAGCAUGCAUUUUUGGCGAGCGGGAAAAUUGUCCUUUGUACGAUGACUGGGUUUUUCUCGUAUACUUGGUCCUUCUCCUUAUCUCGCAUCAUCCAUCUUGCUCAUAUACCUCUUUAUCAGCUCACUGCAAGGCACAUCUUCUGGCGAACCAACUGGAAGACCUUAGGGACAUUAAUAAUCUUACACUAAGCUGUCUGAAAAGGCUCGCGAGGCACAACCGGGAUGAAGCGAGAUGAAAGAGCCGGAGGUGGACGAUGAGCUGGAUGAACAUAAGGGGUUAAAAGAAAAGAUCAGUGCAGAAGAAAGGGGAAAGACUAUCAUCCUAAUAGAAUCCAUCUUCUUGGUGAAGCCUGACGCUGGAUCAUCCUUGACAAAUAAAUUCAAGAAAGAAAAUAUCGGUAACAAUGAAAGAGAGUGUCGAAGGAAAAAAAGAGUAUUCCACUGAUGGAAUCUAUUGUCUCGUCUAUCGAUUACGUGUUCCUAUGCAGAUUGAAUCGCAAGCUAGGAAAUGGCUAAGGAAAGGUGCUCGAAGGGAGAAAAGGAAUUGAAAAAUCUCAUUACGCAAGAAAGAAGUUCACAAUCGCAUUCCGACAUUUCUCACUCAAAGCACGGAGAGGGAAGCCGCGCUUUUCUCUCGCGAUUCGGAGAAGUAAUUAAAUCGGUUGUACGCUCAAACAACGCCAUUAUAAUCUCUCCCGAGAUGCAAGAAAGAAACCGUAUAAUAACAAAGCAUAUAAUAAGUUCAUGAGACAAUUAACGAUGAUGUAAAGCCCGCCCUCUCUCGCACGACUUGUGUAAUUUGUAAAAGUCCGAAGAAAUUCGAUCUUUUCCUUUUUUCCCCGAUUAUGCGCACGAUCGGAAAUUAUCGUAAUGUAAAAAAUUAUUGUUAAAUUCGUGAUCGAUUGUGCAUUGUUUAAUUGAUAUUGUGAUUUUCAUUGAAGCGUAAUUUUAUGUCGAUGUUGAUAGUAUAUUAAUGGAUAUUGAGAGGUAAGUUGACUUUGGAACAACUUGCAAUAUUUAAACAUUACAAAUGUGAAACUUGAUAUAUUUUAUGAAUUUAUAUACUUGUU